rnacentral:tRNA from 1 species
GGGUCACCUGGACCGGGGCCGGGGUCAACCUGGUUUUGGCCGGGGCCAAGUUUGCCGCCGGCUUCCUCGGCCGUUCGGCGGCCAUGGUCUCC